UACGAAGGGGGCUAGCGUUGUUCGGAUUUACUGGGCGUAAAGCGCGUGUAGGCGGGUCGUUAAGUUGGGGGUGAAAUCCCGGAGCUCAACUCCGGAACUGCCUUCAAAACUGGCGACCUGGACUCAAGCAGAGGCAAGUGGAAUUGCGAGUGUAGAGGUGAAAUUCGUAGAUAUUCGCAGGAACACCAGUGGCGAAGGCGACUUGCUGGGCUUGUAGUGACGCUGAGACGCGAAAGCGUGGGGAGCAAACAGGAUUAGAAACCCUUGUAGUCC
rnacentral:rRNA from 1 species